AGAGUUUAAAAUUUAAUCGAAAUUAGAAUGCUUUCAUUAUUGGAACCUCCGAGACUUUU
rnacentral:tRNA from 2 species